rnacentral:lncRNA from 1 species
CUUUUCUAACAAUCUCUCCUUUAUCCCAUGUUUUCUUUUUCUCUUUCCUCUCUCCUCCCCAAAUGAAUAUUAACAAAAUCUCUUGCCUCCUGGUGGAAUCAGAAUGAAUCCAUACAGACUAUACCUAUGUCAAACAUACCUAAGCAAAAUGCCACAGAGGAAAACUCAUGUUUUUAGCUCAACCCCUUUAUUGAGCUGAUUUUUUUCUAUUGCCCUGCUUUCCCUGAUAAAUAUUAUAUAUAUAUAUAUAUAUAAGCUGAAUAGACAUGGGCAAAAUUUGGUUCUUCUGGAUCAUGGAAAUUGGGCUUCGGGAUACAUGUUGGAAUCUGAGUUCCAGCAUUCUUGCAUAGUCUGGCAUCUUUAUGAGAAAUGGUCAGAAUUCCAUCCUUGAAGAAGGCUUCUAAUGGAAGAUCUCUGGAAGCAGAGGCAGUAAGCUUCUUUCGGGAAUGGGGUUAUAUGUCCAUCCUAUGCAAAGUGACUCUUGCAGCCACCACAUCAAGGGAGGCCCGUCCAAGGCUCAUGUGCUCUCCUGGCCUUCUCACGGCCAGACUGCAUGGGGAUCGUGGUCAAUCCUAAGAGAUGGAAUGGGUUUUUCAAAAGCACUUCCCCUAGAGAGAGCCCUCUACACUGGUCCAAAGGCAAUGCCAAGAGACGCAAACGGUCUGUUUCCCAUGGGAGACGAUGAUAUACCCACACGUCCCCUGCCCAGGCAUGUCGGUGGGGCCAGACCACGGCAUCUGGUUUGACAUAGAGCAGACAGGGUGAGGAACACUUUGCUUCUGUUGGAAAUGAAUGAUACUUCCUCUCCCCAGAGUACUGGGCUCUGCAAUUCACCCCAAGUGCAGCUGCUGCUGUUCUGGGUGCUUGAACUAAGUGGGAGCUGGAAGGGAUGGGGUGUCAUUCUGUCUUUAGGAAGGAAGGGCUGAGACUUCCUUAUUUUCUCCCCCCUCUCCCUGCUGACUCAAAGCUCAGGGCAUAAAUCAUUCCAUUUCUGUUUUCCCAGUGGAGAUGGUAUGCCUCAGUCUCCUUCUCUUUUGCUCUUUCUUUCCCUGGAAGCAAGGGACUCCUUUUCAGCCUGGGAGUAUAAAUGGUGGCCCUGGAAAGAAGACACUGGGCUCCCAGGGGUUCAGGGCAGGAGGAUGAAGAAGCUACACGAGAUUUGGACUUCUUAGAGCUGGUACUCCCGGAGUCUAGAAUCAGAUAGACCUCCCGCGAGGAUAUGCUAAAAGUCCCAUAGAAAACAGUGGGGAAAACAACUUCCUCUUCUGAACAAUCUUUCAGAGGACAUUCCUCCUAGAGUUUAAAACAUUACAGUCUCCAGAGCCCAGCGCCAAUUCCGUGUCAGCCCACAACCCGCUCUGGUUGCACAGCUUCACGAGUCACAAGGACUGGAUGGACAAGUGUGUGUGCCUAGUGACUGCCUUCUCCCAGCACAUGCACCAUGUCCCGGUGGCAUUGCCGGAGAUGGUCCGUGCCCUCUCAGCCCAGCAGCAGACCCUCAGGCAGAUCACCAUCUGUGGAGACCGCCAGGCCAAGGACACCAAAGUUCUGGUGCAGUGCGUCCACCCUGUCUACAUUCCUAACAUGGUGCUGAUUCUGGCUGAUGGGGACCCCUCGAGUUUCCUGUCCCACUGGCUGCCUUUCCUGAGUACCCUCCGAAGGCAGGAAGACCAGGCCACUGCGUAUGUGUGUGAGAAUCAAGCCUGCUCAAUGCUCAUCAUGGAUCCCUGUGAAUUACGAAAACUGCUACAUCCGUGACUGCCCCAACCCUCUUGGGCUGGGGCAGAAGGUAGAGCUUCCCAACUGACUAAAGACUCAGGUCCUGCAGGGCCGUGUAGAACUUGUGGCCAUCCCUGAGCACCCUGCCACCAGGUGACUUCAGCCAUACUCACUGCCUCCCUUGGGCACCCACUCACCCUAGAAUAAACUUAACAGUAUCCUACGGUGGGGAAAAAAUUACAGUCUCCAGCCUAGAGGACAGAAUUAGGCUGUUUUGCUUUCUAUCGUUAUUGUUACUGUUGUUCUUGUUGUUGUUUUUAGCUUGUGUGUUCCCUUUGUCUUUGCAAUUAACAGAAGGACAUACCAUUGCGAUGGAUCUUUAGGAUGCCCAUAUUUAUAGCUGAACACACUCACUGGGCCCUGCUGUGUCCCAAAGGGUAGCUCUCUUCUUCCUUCUCAUGGUUUUCCUCUUGCUCCUUCAAGCUUUGGAAAAGGCUACAUUACUGUAGUUCACUGGACUUGGUUAUGUAACAAAAGUGAGCCAGGUACCUCAACACCAUUGAUCCUUGUGGACAGCCAAGGUCACUUUUCAUCUUUGAAUGGAGGUCAGCAGGAAAGACGAGAUGGCUGGGCUGGCAGAGUCUGCUGCCUGCCCCCCCGCUCACCUCCAUCCUGCACUCCUGUGCUAACAGCCCUCCAUUGUGGCCACUAAAACACCACAUUUCUCAGCCUGCUGUAAGAUGCCAGGAGAAGGGUAUUGAGACAGUGCAAUAAAGAGUCUGACUACAUUUCUGAUGUCUGGCUGCAUUCAAAUCUCAUUACUCCCUCUUCUCCUUUUGUUCCAUAUCCAGGAAGCUGAAAAGAAGGCCCAGGUGCUCCCUCCUUUGGAAUUGGUGGGAAAUUUAAACCCCACAAGCCUCUACCCCUGUGCAAAAGCCUUCACCCCAGCCUCAUCUCUACCCACAAUAAACGCCAAGCCAGUCUCUCUUCUCUGGA